rnacentral:rRNA from 1 species
AUCGAAAGCUUGCUUUUGAUGGGCGUCGACCGGCGCACGGGUGAGUAACGCGUAUCCAACCUGCCCACCACUUGGGGAUAACCUUGCGAAAGUAAGACUAAUACCCGAUGAUAUCCCUAGAAGACAUCUGAAAGGGAUUAAAGAUUUAUCGGUGAUGGAUGGGGAUGCGUCUGAUUAGCUUGUUGGCGGGGUAACGGCCCACCAAGGCAACGAUCAGUAGGGGUUCUGAGAGGAAGGUCCCCCACAUUGGAACUGAGACACGGUCCAAACUCCUACGGGAGGCAGCAGUGAGGAAUAUUGGUCAAUGGACGGAAGUCUGAACCAGCCAAGUAGCGUGCAGGACGACGGCCCUAUGGGUUGUAAACUGCUUUUAUAAGGGAAUAAAGUGAGUCUCGUGAGACUUUUUGCAUGUACCUUAUGAAUAAGGACCGGCUAAUUCCGUG